GACCUCGAAUCAGGUAGGAAUACCCGCUGAACUUAAGCAUAUCAAUAAGCGGAGGAAAAGAAACCAACCGGGAUUACCUCAGUAACGGCGAGUGAAGCGGUAACAGCUCAAAUUUGAAAUCUGGCUCCUCUGGAGUCCGAAUUGUAAUUUGUAGAAGAUGCUUUGGGUUGUGGGUUCGGCCUAAGUUCCUUGGAACAGGACGUCAUAGAGGGUGAGAAUCCCGUAUGUGGCCGAGGCCCGCGCCUAUGUAAAGCUCUUUCAACGAGUCGAGUUGUUUGGGAAUGCAGCUCAAAAUGGGUGGUAAAUUUCAUCUAAAGCUAAAUAUGGGCCAGAGACCGAUAGCGCACAAGUAGAGUGAUCGAAAGAUGAAAAGCACUUUGGAAAGAGAGUUAAACAGUACGUGAAAUUGUUGAAAGGGAAGCGCUUGCACCCAGACUUGGGCGCUGCUGAUCACCUUGAGGUCUCCUCGAGUGCACUCGACAGCGCACAGGCCAGCAUCGGUUCGGGUGGCUGGAUAAAGG
rnacentral:rRNA from 1 species